CUCCAAAAUUUUAUAAAACACGUUCUCAUAUUCUUCUAUGGGAAUUAGGGCAACAACAAGAUCGACCCACUCGAUCGAUAGGAUUCACUUCACCGGCGACAGGUCUACCGUAAUUUCUACUCGGUCAUAUUUCCUUCAUGGAGGAUCUCAAUUAUCAAGCAUCUCUUGCUUGUAGGAGAGCAACUGCAGAAAGUGCUUCUCAGAUUCUGCUAGCCUUAACUUGCUAAGACGAAAAUCCUAAUGCAGAAAAGAGGGCACUAGUUUGAUUUCUUGAAGGUUAUGCUAAGUUGAUAUAUAUGCCUUCACCCUAGCAUUAAAAAACAGAGAGAUCAAAAUAAAUCCAACAUCAUGGUUGCAGUUACGCGUGCACAAUCUUGGUCAGCUUUCUGAGUUACAUUCCUGCUGCAAAAAAAAAUCGUAGUCCAUACAUUGCUUGAGGUUACAUUGACAAGAUUUUUUCCUGCCCUUAGCGUAUCGAGGUCACAACCAUCCAGAUCUGUCAUUGAGGUUCAUUCCUGUUGGAACAUUCCAGACUAAGAGUGCGUGGGCUAGAAACAAGCAAAGAGGACACUUGGAUCUUGAGAGUACAGUUGGAGAGUUUCCCCUAUGUACGGCCAGCCCAUUGAACCAGGAGGCAGCUUUGCUUUUUAAGAAAUGGUGUUUAUCAAGGCCCACUCAAGCGGAAGAAAAUUCAGAAAGCAACCUCUCUACCAAACUAAGAUAGGAUAAGGUAUGCAUACAUCCUACACUCCUACCUUUCCCACACCCUGCUUGUGGAAUACCUCGGUAUAUUGUUGUUGUUGAUUGGUUGUUUGGGGGAGUGGAGCGAUCAGGAACUGAUCACAUAGUAAAAUACAGAUAUGUAGAUCAUAUAAUAUCCUAAUCGAGUUCAUAUAAUAAAACACACAUAUAUAUGAUGGUACCUCAAUUCAAAAGUUCUCUUUCUACUGGAAAAUGAGCAUGUCCGUGGUCCAUUGUAGAAAGAUAGAGCCAACGUAAACAACAAAAAAGUUUUGAGGACUUUCUGAAUAUGCUCAUUAAUUUGCAUAUAUAACAUAUGAGAAUAUUUUCUGAACUAUGCAAUAACGUUUUUGUAACACCACUCUCCCUCUUGAGUUAUUAUAGCACAUGAUAGGCUCUUCUAAUUUGUUUUACAUGACAUAAGUGAUUAGCAGAUGUGUAUUUAGCUUCAAAAGUAAUAUCAGCAACUAUAGAACUUUGUUGCUUCUGUAUAACUGCUAUGAUAUAAUUGUCACGAAUCACGAUAGCAUUUUCCUUCUGCCUUUUGAA